rnacentral:rRNA from 1 species
GGACCGGAGCUAAUACCGGAUAAUAUAUUGAACCGCAUGGUUCAAUAGUGAAAGACGGUUUUGCUGUCACUUAUAGAUGGAUCCGCGCCGCAUUAGCUAGUUGGUAAGGUAACGGCUUACCAAGGCAACGAUGCGUAGCCGACCUGAGAGGGUGAUCGGCCACACUGGAACUGAGACACGGUCCAG